AAAAUCUCAUCUUGAUCAUAUUUGAUUAGUAAAUUUCCUCAAUAACUUUUAAUAAUUUGAAUGUUGGAAUGGCUCAGAAUAUUUGUUUCUUUUACAGAACUGUUCUCAUUGUUUUAUCAAUAUCGAUUUUGUUUGGAAAAGUGGUGGCUUUAGACUGUUACAGGACUACGACCCAUGAGUAUAAAGGUAACCAACAGACGACAGAGAAUGGGCAAACAUGUAUAAGAUGGGAUUCUUUUGAUCAUAAAUACCGUGAUUCUUCGACGUUCCUGGAAGCUACGACGUCUGAAGACGAAAAUUACUGUCGUGAUCCUGGUAGAAAUGGUUAUCUCUGGUGCUAUGUGUCAUCAGACGGAUGGAGCUAUGAGGAAUGCGACAUUGAAAAAUGUGUCACUGUCGCCGUGAACCAAUGCGGAAGACUGAAGAUAGAACAACCGACUAUAUUGGGAAGAAAUGUUACUUUUACUUUUACCCCGGAAACAACUUCAGACGCAGACCUGGUAUGGCAGCGAACAAAUAAAAGAAAUCCGUGGUCUCUGCUUCCAAAUGAUAACAAGUUUGCACAGUAUUUCCAAGAUGGAACAUAUUAGUUGAUUUUAACUGACACAGUCAGAGGCGAUGACGAAGUAUUUUACAGGGUUAGUUAUAGGAACAAUAGCGUAAGCUGUUCAAUGGAAACUCCCAAACUUCAGCUUCAAGAUAUAGCAAGUAAUCGAUGUGGAUUUGUUUACCUAAGAACAACAAAGGUGAAAGAAGGCGAGAACGUAGAACUAGAAUAUUAUCCAUCGGAAUAUGUUAUGCAAAAUCAAGAACACACUGUACGACAAUGGAAGCGUUCUACAGAUCCAACCAUUUCAAUAACUCUGACGAAAGAUGUGUAUGAGGAAGAAAAGGAACCAAAUGAUAAAUAUGUGUUGACUACAGUCAUGUUCACGAACGAAUGAAUGGCCGAUAUAGUGUUUACUGUGGCAGAACAGCGGGCUACUCCAAUUUUGUCAAUGUGAUAAUACCAGUUGCACCUAGCGCACCAGUAUUUGAAGGUUUAAAGGACAUAGACGACUAUAAGGGAUGUAUUGUUGGUGAAGAUUAUGAUAUGUUCAGCGUUCUCUGCAAGACAAGUGGUGGUACACAACCAAUAAAAGUCACCAUGUCAAUAGGGGAUGAAUCUCUGAGCCCACAACAAUAUGAUAAAACAGAUGGUUACAUGGCAUUCUUUACUCUUCGCAACAGACAUCAUAUGGCAAAUAUGACAUGCACAGUUAUGAACGAUGUUUUAACAUCGCCUUUUUUCAUCACUGCACGUGUGUAUG